rnacentral:lncRNA from 1 species
UAGGGUUACUUUGGCCCAAUAUGAUAUUACCUACUUUAAAGCAUUAUAUAAAUAGUUAGGGUCAAAGAAAGACAUGGGUUUAUUUAUUCAGUAUAUUUAUAUGACAGAAAAAUAUAUUUCGAAUUAUGUUUUUUUAGAAAAGGUACAAAAAUGAAGCUUUAGCAAACAAUUCAUGUUUUUUACAAAUUACUGACGGAAAAUAGUCCUCUUUUUAACAGUUUUGGAGGUUGGAUCUUUUUCUUAAUAGCGCU